UGAAAAGCAUUUGUGAAACAACCUGAGUGCAGGCUCCGUUUAGAUUGUUCUUCUUUUUUCUGUGGUUCUUUUCCCUGUGUGUGCUGGUUAUCUACUGCUACGUAAAAAAUCCCUUCAGUACUUAGUGCUUGGAAGCAAUGAGAAUCGUUCAUUCUGUCUCAGUGUCUGCGACCAGCAAUUCAGGAGCAACUGGAUUAUUCACGUGUUGACUGGAAAAAAAAAAAAACCUGAAAGCUUCAGCUUAUGUUUUAUUUGGGGAACUUACUAAGGACCAUAGCCCGGGAGACAGCCUCUCAGAGAAUUCUGAAGGAUGGUGCCAAAGAGGGCCAGUAUCCUAUUUUUCUCCAUCCCGAAUUCCCACCAGCGUGCACCGUCGGCUGAUGGCUUGAUGGAGGUAAUGUUCUUUUUAUUUUCAAUUAAUUAAUUAAUUUAUUUUUGGCUGCAUUGGGUCUUCGUUUCUGCGCGCGGGCUUUCUCUGGUUGCGGCAAACGGGGGCUACUCUUCGUUGCGGUGUGUGGGCUUCUCAUUGUCAUGGCUUCUCUUGUUGCGGAGCAUGGGCUCUACGCGCGUGGGCUUCAGUAGUUGUGGCACACAGGCUCAGUAGUUGUGGCACACGGGCUUAGUUGCUCCACGGCAUGUGGGAUCUUCCCAGACCAGAGCUCGAACCUGUGUCCCCUGCAUUCGCAGGCAGAUUCUUAACCACUGAGCCACCAGGGAAGUCCCAAGGUAACGUUCUUUGUUAACUGAAAUGGCAGGCAACGUGUUUUUCAUCCACACAGGUCUGCUCAAGUUUUCUCAUGAGGCUGCUGCCAGACGGCGGCCAGGGCUGCCCUCGCGAGAAGGUUCGGGGUGCUGCAGGGUCCACGUCCGCAUCUGCUCCCUCACGGGGCUGGUGCCGGCUGGCGGUAGGAGGCCUCACCUCCUCUCCGUGUGGGCCUCUCCAAGAGGCUUGCGUGUCCUUAUGGUGUGACGGCUUCCUCCAGAACAACUGACCCAAGGGAGCCAGGCAGAAGCUGCAAUACCUUCUGUGACCUCACCUCAGAAGGCACUGAGUGUCACACCGCAGUCUCUCGGCCUCACGCAGCAGUAUUGAUUCAGCGUGGGGGAGGCUUACAGAAGGUGUGAACGGCAAGGGGCCUCCUGGAGACUGGCUACGGCACCAAGCUUAAUUCAACAGCAAUCUAUUUAAGGCAACUCACCUAGAAUUAAUCAUUCUCAAAGCAUUUAAUUUAGCAUUCAGAGAAACAACUCUUUAAAUCCACAUUUUAUCAUUUUAUGUAUGCUUAAUAACAAGCAUAACUGACAUAAGCGGAUUUGGGGAUGUAACAGACUGACGGGGGGACAGGUACAAACGGCCGUAGCAGCCCGAUGACGCAGGCACACCAGGGAGGUGCUGCCCACUGGAGAUGCUGCCAGUGGGCAUCACCUGGAGCUGCAGGGCAUCAGUUAAAUGGAGCCUAAUGUACUGUCAGGUGCCCCCGGACCCUUCGAGAGGGUUGAAGAGUCUGUGUGCCCAGGCCCACUCUUCAUUUCUUCCAUGAACCUAGGAGCUGUAGAAAGUGUGUAUUUGGUUUAAGAAAAGUUUAGUUCCCUCCAAUAAGCAUUCCCUGAAUACCUAGACAUCCAGGCACUGAUGGUGAGAUGAAUUCCUCUGCAGGGACGUCACCAUCCACAGCAGGAGAUGUCAAGGUAAAGAAAGCAUGUCAACAUGGUGCUCGCUGGCACGGAGGGCAUCGGGGAGGCGGGAGAGCAUAGGGGGUAUGUUAGUCUCCUGGGGCUGCCAUGGCAAAUGGGGGGGAGCCUAAUCAACAGAAAUGGAGGCCAGAGGUCUGAGAUGAAGGUGUCGGUGGGGGUGCAUUCUCCCGAGUGUCCCCCUUUGGCUUGUAGUUGGCCGUCUUCUCCCCGUGUCCUCAUGGGGUCGUCCCUCUGUCUGAGUUCUCUGUGACCUCAUCUUCUCUUCUUAUAAGGACACCAAUCAUGUUGGAUUGGGGCCCAUUCACACAACCUCAUUUCACUCUUUCAGGCCCUUUCUCCAAAUACAGUCACGUUCUGAGUUACUGGGGGUUAGGACUUGACAGUAUGAAUUUGGAAGGGACACGAUUCAACCCUACCAGGGAGGGAAGGGCAUCCACUCCAAACUGGGAGCCUCAAAUGGGCUCUGAGAGCAGGCACUGCCUCAGCUGUGUCCUGACAGAUGCGUAGGGGCUUUCCUGGCAAAGAGGGGGCGGGCUGGGGACAUGAGCUCUGCGUGGACAGUAGGAGGGGAGGGGGGCCACAGCCACUCAGUGGGGAGUGUGGGGUUGAGCAGGAGAAGCCCUCUUUAUUUUAUUUUAUUUUUUUUAUAUUAUUUUUUUGGGCCGCACCCCGUGGCACACGGAACUUCCCUGACCAGGGAUCAAACCCACAGCCCCUGUGGAGUCUUAACCACUGGACUGCCAGGGAAGUCCGUUUUUUUUUGUUGUUGUUGUUGGUUUUAAGCCCUCCUUAUUUUAGACUGGGUCCCUGGACCCCCUCCCCCCAGCCCUACCUUCUCCUUCUCGGGGCUCAGCUCUGGGGAAAGAGGGCUGAGGGUCCCCCACUCAGAGCCCAGCCUGAACCAGUGCUGCCACUGUUGCCUGGAGGGAGUCUCUGGUGUGUAAUGUGGCCUUGAGCGUGGAAAGUUAACUCAGUUGGAAAGAGUAAAAGGAAGCUGGAAAAAAAAAUGUUAACUCAACCACAGGCAUGAUAAAGAGAUGGUGAGGUCACUAAGGCUUUUGGAAAAUAUGAAUCUGCCCGACAGUCUGAAGGAAAAAGAGAAAAGCAGGGCCAGGCGAGUCCCUCCCCUGCCUGUGUGUGCAGCCCAGGGGGCGUGUGUGGUCUGGCCCUGCGGGACGCUGUCCUCCUUGGAAGGAACCUUCCCCAUCCGGCUGUGGUCUCCUCGGGCCAGCUUUGCUGCAGUUGGGCGUUUGACUCCAAUUCCUGGGAAGGAGAAGGCAGGUCAUACAUGAUCCUUCUGACCUAAGUCUCACAACGGAAGGAAGUGCUCCCAGGAAGCAGAGGGAGUGUAGGGACACACACACACACACACACACACACACACUCUUCCCACUCAGCGGGAUACCAGGUUUGCAAUAUCUGGUUUGGGGUGUUUUGGGCAGGGCUGGCCCGAUAAGGCUCCUGGCUGGCCUGAGGAAGCGGAGUGGUACCAGGUGGAGCCAGGCAGCCUUGAGGGCUUGGUCCCUGGGCACCUUCCU